GUGAAUCAUCGAAUCUUUGAACGCAAAUUGCACUCUCUUCGGAGAGUAUGCCUGUUUGGGGGUCAGUAUUAAUAAAAAUCGGUGUGUUGCUCUUUUGUGACGUUCCGGAGUUUGGGUCAUCUUAUAAUAACACACUUUCAGGGUAUUUUUAAGAGGCUUAAAAUUGACCUUUUUUGUGCAUUUUAGAUGUACAUAAAUUUUUUUUUAUUUGUCUAUUUUAAUGCCAAAUCUAUAUUAGAUGAGACUAUAUUGUGUGGUUUCGAGUCUAUUCAUGUUUCAUGAU
rnacentral:misc_RNA from 1 species